rnacentral:rRNA from 1 species
UGGCUCAGAUUGAACGCUGGCGGCAUGCCUUACACAUGCAAGUCGAACGGUAGCGGGCCUUCGGGUGCCGACGAGUGGCGAACGGGUGAGUAACGUAUCGGAACGUACCUUUCAGUGGGGGAUAACGUAGCGAAAGUUACGCUAAUACCGCAUAUUCUGUGCGCAGGAAAGCAGGGGACCUUCGGGCCUUGCGCUGAUUGAGCGGCCGAUAUCAGAUUAGCUAGUUGGUGAGGUAAAGGCUCACCAAGGCGACGAUCUGUAGCGGGUCUGAGAGGAUGAUCCGCCACACUGGAACUGAGACACGGUCCAGACUCCUACGGGAGGCAGCAGUGGGGAAUUUUGGACAAUGGGGGCAACCCUGAUCCAGCCAUGCCGCGUGAGUGAAGAAGGCCUUCGGGUUGUAAAGCUCUUUCGGU